rnacentral:rRNA from 1 species
AACGAACGCUGGCGGCAUGCCUAACACAUGCAAGUCGAACGAGACCUUCGGGUCUAGUGGCGCACGGGUGCGUAACGCGUGGGAAUCUGCCCUUUGCUUCGGAAUAACAGUUAGAAAUGACUGCUAAUACCGGAUGAUGUCUUCGGACCAAGGAUUUAUCGGCAAAGGAUGAGCCCGCGUAGGAUUAGGUAGUUGGUGGGGUAAAGGCCUACCAAGCCGACGAUCCUUAGCUGGUCUGAGAGGAUGAUCAGCCACACUGGGACUGAGACACGGCCCAGACUCCUACGGGAGGCAGCAGUGGGGAAUAUUGGACAAUGGGCGAAAGCCUGAUCCAGCAAUGCCGCGUGAGUGAUGAAGGCCUUCGGGUCGUAAAGCUCUUUUACCUAGGGAUGAUAAUGACAGUACCUGGAGAAUAAGCUCCGGCUAACUCCGUGCCAGCAGCCGCGGUAAU